UACAGAGGGGGCUAGCGUUAUUCGGAAUUAUUGGGCGUAAAGGGCGCGUAGGCGGCCAUGCGUGUCUUCCGUGAAAUCCCUCGGCUUAACUGAGGACGUGCGGAAGAAACUGCAAGGCUCGAGUCCGGGAGAGGGGGGUGGAAUUCCCAGUGUAGCGGUGAAAUGCGUAGAUAUCGGGAGGAACACCUGUGGCGAAAGCGGCGCACUGGACCACAACUGACGCUGAGGCGCGAAAGCUAGGGGAGCAAACAGG
rnacentral:rRNA from 1 species